rnacentral:rRNA from 1 species
CGCUGGCGGCGUGCCUAACACAUGCAAGUCAACUUGACUGAAGGAGCAAUCUGACAGUAGAGUGGCGCAAGGGUGCGUAACGCGUAAGUAACUUGCCCCAAGGUAAGGAAUAACGUCGAGAAAUCGGCGCUAAUACCUCAUAAUGCAGCGGAUCCGCAUGGAUAUGUUGUUAAAGGUUUACCGCCCUGGGAUAGGCUUGCGUCUGAUUAGCUAGUUGGUGUGGUAACGGCACACCAAGGCUACGAUCAGUAACUGGUCUGAGAGGAUGAUCAGUCACACUGGAACUGAGACACGGUCCAGACUCCUACGGGAGGCAGCAGUGAGGAAUAUUGGGCAAUGCUCGAAAGAGUGACCCAGCAACGCCGCGUGGAGGAUGAAGGUAUUCUAUAUCGUAAACUCCUGUGAGAGCAGACGAAAGACAGAUUAUUAAUCUGGAUGACUGUAUGCUCAGAGGAAGCCCCGGCUAACUACGUG